rnacentral:rRNA from 1 species
UACAGAGGGUGCGAGCGUUAAUCGGAAUUACUGGGCGUAAAGCGUGCGCAGGCGGUGAGGUAAGACAGGUGUGAAAUCCCCGGGCUUAACCUGGGAACUGCAUUUGUGACUGCAUCGCUGGAGUGCGGCAGAGGGGGAUGGAAUUCCGCGUGUAGCAGUGAAAUGCGUAGAUAUGCGGAGGAACACCGAUGGCGAAGGCAAUCCCCUGGGCCUGCACUGACGCUCAUGCACGAAAGCGUGGGGAGCAAACAGG